UCCUCCCGCAGGCUGUGGUUUGUCUCACUCAUGCCUUUCAGCACUGUGUAAGUUCCACUUCAGCCUGUGGUACUUAAAACUCACUUUAAAAUAGGGUGGGUGUGCUCUCAUCCUCGAAGUCAGGUGUCUUUUUCAUUGCUCUGGUGAAGAGGAGAGCAAAUUGUGGGCACAUUGCAGCAGAAUCAGAUUUUUCCCACUGGGUCACAGUGAUGUGAGGAUGGGUAUGAACACAUCUUCCGUGGGUCAAGAAUUCUUGUCUUGUAUAAAUCUGUGAGCAUCUGAUAAUUUAAUGUUUCAGAAUAUCACAGGCGCUCAGCCUGAAUUAAAGGUAUUUUUAGGUCAUGGGACUACAGAUAUCUAAACAGAAAUAAGUGUAGUUUGAGAGUGAUUUUAUUAUAUCCUGAAAUGAAGCACCCUUCUGAAUUAGUCAAGACCCAAAAUACCAUGGAAGUGCCUAUAACUGAGCUUGCAAAAAGGAGGGUGAAGAGCAAAGGGAAAAGACCCUAAAGCUGUUUAAAGGAUUUUAAACAAAGUGAGUCUGAACCAUUGAGGCAGAAACCCUGUUUUCAUUCCAUACUUGUGUCCUGAUUCCUACACUUUAAUAUGGAUUGCCUGGUUCUUCCACAGAAGUGUUGGUUUGUAUUUUAAAGAAAAAAGAGAAAAGGAAGAAGGCAUGGGGUUUUCUUUUCCUUUUUCAUGAUGUUCUAAAGUGACUAAAUCUGGCUUUUACAAUUUCUGUCUGUGUGAUUCUGCUUAAAAAUGCAUGAGCUGUUCUAGGCACAUCUGUAAAAUGCUGUGAGCAGUGCCUAUAGUACAAAUGAUGUCAUGCCCUUCCUGAACUUGUCUGGUGAAGUUCAGAGACAAAUUAAUUAAAUUAUGGGUUUAGCAAAAUAGAGCUUUUUUUUUCCCUUACCAGACAAUUUUCAGUGAAAAUGUGUAGAACAUCUAUUGAUUAUGGGUGGUUUUUAUGACAAUAGAAUCCGAGCAUGUUUUCAUUUGGGGGGCCUGGAUCUGACUGAAGUUUUCCAUACACACUGUUUGUAAUGUCCUUUGGUCACAGUGCUCUUAGGGCUCCAUCCCAAAUGGAAAUCCCUCUCAUCCGAAACUUUCAUACAGAGCAUACAUUACUCAAAUAUUCCUCUGCUGAGGCACUGGGGGUGUAGAGCCUCUGCUAGAGGUUAGAAUACAGGUUUGCUUCCUGGAAUAUAAACCCUGACAACAAAAUAUUUGACCCAGGGCUUCAUGUGUAGCCAAACUUGAAUGAUUUCUCCUUCACCAUAAGUUCAUUGCCCACAUUUGAGAACUGCUGAGCCAGUUUUCCUGGUGCUGCUGCUGAGAAAGGGAAGAAGAAUUGUGCCCCUCUCACCCCUUUGGCAUGGAUUGAGGCAGAGUUUACAGCACUGCCUCAGUGGUCAGGUGCUUGAGACACAGAACAGAAAAAUGCUGCUCUGUCCCUGAUACCUCUGCUCUGUCUCCUCUCUGGAUCUGCUCUGCCUUUCUCAGAGCUCUGGAAGAGCCUGUUCAGAACCAGGAAUUGAGGUCUGGGACUCUGAAGCCUGCCUGUGCAGCACAGAUUGCUCUGAGCUGCUGUGGCUGUUCCACUGAUGGGGAUCAAAUCUCAUGAUCUGCUUUAACCAGCUUUAGGCUUUCUUUGGGUUGACAUCCAAACACUUCAUUUGCACUUAAACAUGAUUUCAGGUUGAUCAAAAUCACUCUGAAUGUGGUAAAAUUGAUCUGAAUUUGUAAAUGGCUGGUUAUGGUUAAAGUAUUGAAGAGAUUUUUGAAGGCAGAUGUAAUAGUAAGAGUUUGUGUUCAACAGGAAUUCAACACCUUGUCUUUUACAACAUUUGCAUUAAAUUUCCUGCUCA